rnacentral:lncRNA from 1 species
ACAUCACUGAAACUUCCUGGAUUUAAUUUCCAGAGCCUCAGAGCAGAAAACAGCCACAAAUUAAAUCUUGGGGAUAUUCAACAGCAGUUGCUUCAGUCAGAGCUCCUCAGUAGGAGAAAGAGUCAGGGGAAGGAUUUUUUUUAUUUAAGAGCUCCAGGGUGGAUCUCACUCAGUGGCAGAGGUAAGAAUUUCUUUUUGAGGAGCUCCAGGGUGGAUCUCACUCAGUGGCAGGGUAAGAAUUUCUUUUUGAGGAGCUCCAGGCUGGAUCUCUCUCAGUGGCAGAGGCAAGAAUUUCUUUUUGUACCAUUUCUGAUCUGUUCUCAGACACCCUCACACCUCUGCCCUGGGGGAUCAGACAUCUCCAGGUCUCUGUUUCAACAACAAAAAAAGAGAAAGAUUCUGCUCAGAUCGGAGAGGAGCUCCAGGGUGGAUCUCACUCAGUGGCAGGGUAAGAAUUUCUUUUUGAGGAGCUCCAGGGUGGAUCCCACUCAGUGUCAGGGUAAGAAUUUCUUUUUUGAGGAGCUCCAGGCUGGAUCUCUCUCAGUGGCAGAGGUAAGGAUUUCUUUUUGUACCAUUUCUGAUCUGUUCUCAGACACCCUCACAAGGCAAGAAUUUCUUUUUGUACCAUUUCUGAUCUGUUCUCAGACACCCUCACACCUCUGCCCUGGGGGAUCAGACAUCUCCAGGUCUCUGUUUCAACAACAAAAAAAGAGAAAGAUUCUGCUCAGGAAGGAGGGAGGGAUCACAAUGAAGAGCCACCUCCCAGUGGGAGCCAGGAUUUCCCAGUGUCUCUGCUGGAAUGGGAUAAACAGCCCCUUCAAAAGGGAAAAGCUGACAGAACUGCAGCAAUUUUCCUAUUUCUGUGGGAAUAACUCUUCCAGCCUCCAAGCAAGUGCACAUCCAGAGGGAACAGCCACACCUGGCAGCAGGGAUGGGACUGAAAUGCCCAGGAACCGAGUGCAGCUGGAAAAUCCCUCUUGGGAAAUAAGGAAAUAACUGAAGGAAAUUACUUGACGAGUUCUGCACAACGAACACAUACAGUAGCAAGACUCCAGCACCACCUUGACAGAGUAUCUUUAAAAAAAAAAAACAACCCUCAAAGAACCCAAGAAAGAUUGAUUUUUACUUCCUAGUCAGCAGAAAGUAGCCACAACUUUGUUUUCCUUUAGGAAUUGGUUGGAUCCUACUCCUUUCCAAGCACCCGUGGGUGCCAUGUCUGCUCAGAGCUCUGGAUGCAUCCCAGGGCAGUAUCCCAGAUACCAGCCAGCAGUCGUUUUGUCCUUGCAAGAGAAAAAAGCAGGGGAAAAAAAAAAAAAAUCAAAGUGCUCCUAUGCAUUGUCAGGAAUUUCCAAGUCAAUGUGAAAUAGCAGUCCUCCAAUCAGCCCAAAGAGAGACACUAAUUCCACUGAAGUAGGUGCCACAAUGACCAAAGCUCAUUAAGUUGUGAAUAUACACCAGCCAUUCACAAUCCAAAACGAGACGGGGAGGGGGAGAGGGGGAAUAAAAAUAAAACAACAAAAAGAUGCCGUCGAUUUGCUGAUAUUUAACAAUCCCAGGAGAUUUUGUUGUUCAUUUUGUAGGUGGGGGGAGGGGGGGGGAAGGGGGAUGGUGAGGAGAUUUUUGUUGUAUUUCUUUUCUUUUUUGUAUUUUUUCUUUUCUUUUUUUGUAUUUUUUCUUUUCUUUUUGUAUUUUUUCUUUUCUUUUUUGUAUUUUUUCUUUUCCUUUUGUAUUUUUUCUUUUCCUUUUGUAUUUUUUCUUUUCUUUUUUUUUGUUUUUCUUUUGGGGGGGGGGGGGGGGGGGGGGGGGGGGGGGGGGGGGGGGGGGGGGGGGGGGGGGGGGGGGGGGGGGGGGGGGGGGGGGGGGGGGGGGGGGGGGGGGGGGGGGGGGGGGGGGGG